rnacentral:snRNA from 8 species
UUCGCCUUUUACUAAAGACUUCCGUGGAGAGGAACACUUACGAGUUCAACGUAUUUUUGGAAGGGCUUUGCUUCUGGCAGAGCC